AUUGAACGCUGGCGGCGGGCCUAACACAUGCAAGUCGAGCGGAUGACGGGAGCUUGCUCCUUGAUUCAGCGGCGGACGGGUGAGUAAUGCCUAGGAAUCUGCCUGGUAGUGGGGGACAACGUUUCGAAAGGAACGCUAAUACCGCAUACGUCCUACGGGAGAAAGCAGGGGACCUUCGGGCCUUGCGCUAUCAGAUGAGCCUAGGUCGGAUUAGCUAGUUGGUGGGGUAAUGGCUCACCAAGGCGACGAUCCGUAACUGGUCUGAGAGGAUGAUCAGUCACACUGGAACUGAGACACGGGCAAGACUCUUACGGGAGGCAUCAGUGGGAAAUAUUGGACAAUGGGCGAAAGCCUGAUCCAGCCAUGCCGCGUGUGUGAAGAAGGUCUUCGGAUUGUAAAGCACUUUAAGUUGGGAGGAAGGGCAGUAAGCUAAUACCUUGCUGUUUUGACGUUACCGACAGAAUAAGCACCGGCUAACUCUGUGCCAGCAGCCGCCGUAACAC
rnacentral:rRNA from 1 species